CAUAGGUGAGGCCACACCAAAAAAAAAAAAAAAAGAGUGUAAUUCAGCUGCACUCAACUCACAGACGCAUCCCAUAAACCUAGUGCUGAGUGAAAGAGGUCAGGCACAUGGAAACACACCCCAAGGUAGGUAGGAUUUCGGUAGGGAUGCUUAACUAGUAAGACUGCAGGGAAAGCGAGGACACGGAUGUCAUAAUAGCCAGGAUGGUGGUAACUUUGCGAAGUCAAGAGAACAGAGUUGCUAAGGUUUGGGAAGGGACUUAACAGAGAGGCUCUGGGUGUUGACAGUGUUCCGUUUCUUAGUUUGGGUGGUGGUUCCAUGGGUGUUGCCUUGUGAUAAACCACCGGGUUUCACAUUUGCUUACUUUUCUGGAUGGGCGUUAUUAUUAUUUUUACUUUUCUGACCAGUUCAAUUAAAAGGGAUUUUAAGAAAAGUUACUAGUCGCUAUAGCAACAAACCAAGAAUAUAGUGCCCCCAAAGAUACACAUUUAUUUCUCACUCACACGAAGGCCAAAGCAGAGGUUCCUGAGGUGGGUGGCUCUGCUCCAAGUGAUGCUCAGACUCCUCCGGGCUUUUGGCUUCAUCUCCUCCAACAGGUAGCUUGUGAGGUCAAAUGCGCCAAGGCAUCAAGUUGGCCAAAAUGGAAAAGACACGGGGGACUAUGCCCAGGAAAACGUGGGACCACGUCAGAGAAGCAGCACACCCCAGCUCCACUGCUCUCCCACCGGCUAGACUCAGUCUCAUGGCCACACUGGAGAACAAGGGGAGCUGGGAGGGUCCUGCUGAUCCCCGGCAAGAAGCAAGUGGGGUACGGAACAGCCGGCAAGGCCAGUCUCUGUCGCAACAUCCAGGUACCAAAACCACCAUCUGGCUUGCCAAAGAUACCCAGGCAUCCACACAGCCAACACACGGCGGCAGAGCGCAAGAGGAACAGACGUGCCGAAUAAAGGAAACAGUGUCACAAAGAGCAGGAGAGCGGCCUUGCCCGAGCCGAUCCUAACACAGCGCCAUCGACUCCGAGGAGGAGUAACGCGAUUCUCAGCCUGUCUGUGGACCAACAAGCGUGAGAGCAGAGUCGGGCAGCAAUGGUGCCAGCAGUGCCAGCCUCUCCUGCCCGACUCCGAAGGGCGGCCUUCAUCUCUGCACUCGUUCGUCCUCCUGUGGCUCCUGUCUGUUCUCUAAGCCUCGCUCCCUGGACUUGCCAGUACUUCUGAGUAACUUAAACCUCCAGGAAUUUUCUUCUUAACUACUUUAUCACAGCCAGACUUGUAACAGAGUAGAUUUAUCUUACCUGCUGAACCUCCAGUCCCACGUUGAACUUCAGCUGCCCAGGAGGCGUCCUUCUUUGGGGCUUGGCUGUGGCGGGAAUGCUGCUGCGGAAAGCCCGACCCCUAAACGCGCCUCCAGCAAAGAGCCCCGCAGCACGAAGACAACCCUCACUUCCCAGAUCUCCAAGGAGCGCACCCACCUGGGGGAACUUACUUUGCCCUUGGAACCCCAGCUGCAAGGAUUUUAACCUCUCAAGACGGUUACCUGACUCCUCCAGCUACUAAUUUUUAAUGACAUCAGCGUCGUCUUCUGACGCGUUUGGCUUUCUAUCACUUGUAAUCAAUUCUCUGCAUUAAAUGCCCUCUAUGUGAAAUACUCA